rnacentral:rRNA from 1 species
AUUGAACGCUGGCGGCAGGCCUAACACAUGCAAGUCGGACGGUAGCACAGAGGAGCUUGCUCCUCGGGUGACGAGUGGCGGACGGGUGAGUAAUGUCUGGGGAUCUGCCCGAUAGAGGGGGAUAACCACUGGAAACGGUGGCUAAUACCGCAUAACGUCGCAAGACCAAAGAGGGGGACCUUCGGGCCUCUCACUAUCGGAUGAACCCAGAUGGGAUUAGCUAGUAGGCGGGGUAAUGGCCCACCUAGGCGACGAUCCCUAGCUGGUCUGAGAGGAUGACCAGCCACACUGGAACUGAGACACGGUCCAGACUCCUACGGGAGGAAGCAGGGGGGAAUAUUGCAAAAGGGGCGCAAGCCUGAUGCAGCCAUGCCGCGGGUAUGAAGAAGGCCUUCGGGUUGUAAAGUACUUUCAGCGGGGAGGAAGGCGAUGUGGUUAAUAACCUUGUCGAUUGACGUUACCCGAAGAAGAAGCACCGGCUAACUCCGUGCCAGCCGCCGCGGUAA